AGUGAACGCUGGCGGUAGGCCUAACACAUGCAAGUCGAACGGCAGCACAGUAAGAGCUUGCUCUUACGGGUGGCGAGUGGCGGACGAGUGAGGAAUACAUCGGAAUCUACUUUUUCGUGGGGGAUAACGUAGGGAAACUUACGCUAAUACCGCAUACGACCUACGGGUGAAAGCAGGGGAUCUUCGGACCUUGCGCGAUUGAAUGAGCCGAUGUCGGAUUAGCUAGUUGGCGGGGUAAAGGCCCACCAAGGCGACGAUCCGUAGCUGGUCUGAGAGGAUGAUCAGCCACACUGGAACUGAGACACGGUCCAGACUCCUACGGGAGGCAGCAGUGGGGAAUAUUGGACAAUGGGCGCAAGCCUGAUCCAGCCAUACCGCGUGGGUGAAGAAGGCCUUCGGGUUGUAAAGCCCUUUUGUUGGGAAAGAAAAGCAGCAGGUUAAUACCCCGCUGUUCUGACGGUACCCAAAGAAUAAGCACCGGCCAACUUCGUG
rnacentral:rRNA from 1 species